rnacentral:rRNA from 1 species
CAAAUUGGACCUCAAAUCAAGCAAGGCUACCCGCUGAACUUAAGCAUAUUAAUAAGCGGAGGAAAAGAAACUAACAAGGAUUCCCCGAGUAAUGGCGAACGAAACGGGAAUAGCCCAAAUUUGAAAUCUCUGGCGCCAAGUCAGCGAGUUGUAAUUUGGAAAGAAAGUGUUCCUUGCCUCCAUGUUAAAGCAAAAGUCCACUGGAAUGUGGCGGCUCUUCGGAGCUCUUUGGGUCAGAGAGGGUGAGAAUCCCGUUUUGCUUUAGUGUGGAGACUGUUGUGUCACUUUCUUUAAGAGUCGGAUUGUUUGGGAAUGCAAUCCAAAACGGGUGGUAAAUUCCAUCCAAGGCUAAAUAUAAGCAAGAGACCGAUAGCGAACAAGUACCGUGAGGGAAAGAUGAAAAGAACUCUGAAGAGAGAGUUCAAUAGUACGUGAAAUUGCUGAAAGGGAAACGCUUGGAACUAUUGUUGCUCUUGCCUGAAACUUGUUUUCGGGCAAGGCGAGUCAACAGCAGUUUGAAGAGACUUAGACGUUUUGGGGGAAUGUGACUUGGGCUUCGGCCCAAGUGUUAUAGCCUCCAGAUACCAGGUCUUUUCAGACUGAGGGCUGCCAGGUUUACUCGAGGGGCGUAGUUGCUUGUUAGAUUAGCGUUGAUUAGGCCUUGGCUUCCACCAAGACUAGUUUUCGUUAGUUUGGCAAUGCGGCUGCGCUUCUUUAGACUUGAAGGUUGUUGACAAAAUGGUUUCAAUCGACCCGUCUUGAAACACGGACCAAGGAGUGCAACAAAUAUGCGAGUCGUAGGGUGAUUUAAACCUGAAGGCGCAAUGAAAGUGAAAGAGCAGGAAGAACUGUCACAGGUUCUGCACUGCUGCCCGGUCGUGCGGCUUAAUGCCAAAUGGUCUGAGGCAGAGCAUAUUUGCUGCGACCCGAAAGAUGGUGAACUAUGCCUGCUUAGGGUGAAGUCAGAGGAAACUCUGAUGGAGGCUCGUAGCGAUUCUGACGUGCAAAUCGAUCGUCAAAAGUGGGUAUAGGGGCGAAAGACUAAUCGAACCAUCUAGUAGCUGGUUUCCGCCGAAGUUUCCCUCAGGAUAGCAGAGAUUCAUGAUUCAUAGUUUUAUGAGGUAAAGCGAAUGAUUAGAGGAAUGGGGGGCGAAACGCUCUUCACCUAUUCUCAAACUUUAAAUAUGUAAGAAGUCCUUGUUGCUUAAUGUGAACUUGUGACCUUGCGAAUAUAGAAUCUCUAGUGGGCCAUUUUUGGUAAGCAGAACUGGCGAUGCGGGAUGAACCGAACGUUAAGUUAAGGUGCCAAAAUAUACGCUUAUUUAGAUACCAUAAAAGGUGUUGAUUCAUCUAGACAGCAGGACGGUGGCCAUGGAAGUCGGAAUCCGCUAAGGAGUGUGUAACAACUCACCUGCCGAAUGAAUUAGCCCUGAAAAUGGAUGGCGCUCAAGCGUAUUACCUAUACUUGACCAUUAAAGUAAGUUGAUUUUGCUUUAAUGUGUAGGCGGACGUGGAGAUUUUUAGUGUUGAAGCGCUUAGGGCGUGAGCCUGCGUGGAACAAUCUCUAGUGCAGAUCUUGGUGGUAGUAGCAAAUAUUCAAAUGAGAACUUUGAAGACUGAAGUGGAGAAAGGUUCCAUGUGAACAGCAAUUGGACAUGGGUUAGUCGCUCCUAAGAGAUAGGGAAAUUCCGUGAGAAAGUGCGCAAUUUAUUGUGCCGCCUAUCGAAAGGGAAUCAGGUUAAUAUUCCUGAACCAGGACGUGGAUACUGUACGGCAACGUAAGUGAACUCGGAGACGUCGGCCUGGAGCCCGAGAAGAGUUAUCUUUUCUUUUUAACAGACUUACGCCCUGGAAUCAGGUUAACUGGAGAUAGGGUUUAAUGUUUGGGAAAGCACCUCAUUUCUGAGGUGUUCGGUGCCUUUGGGACGACCCUUGAAAAUCCGAGGGAAAGAUUUAUUCGCACCCCUGGGCGUACUCAUAACCGCAUCAGGUCUCCAAGGUGAACAGCCUCUAGUCGAUAGAAUAAUGUAGGUAAGGGAAGUCGGCAAAUUAGAUCCGUAACUUCGGGAAAAGGAUUGGCUCUGAGGAUUGGGUUAUAGUGUCUAACAUUGAACGAGGAACUAAGAAGGAACUUGUCGCAAGGCAGGAUCUGGAUUGGUGAACCAGGAAAUGGGAGAUGUCUUACACCAGCAACAAUCGACUCAGAACUGAAGCGGACAAGGGGAAUCCGACUGUUUAAUAAAAACAUAGCUUUGUGAUGGAGUGAAAACUUGUUGACACAAAGUGAUUUCUGCCCAGUGCUUUGAAUGUGAAUAUGAAGUAAUUUGUAGAAGCUCAGGUAAACGGCGGGAGUAACUAUGACUCUCUUAAGGUAGCCAAAUGCCUCGUCAUCUAAUUAGUGACGCGCAUGAAUG